CGUACUAGGUUAACAGCAAUGGUUUAUAAGAUAAUAUUUUCUGCUGCCGUUCAAUCAGAGUUUAUUUAAAUAAAAAAUAUCUUUGUAAUUCUUAAUAACAAGGUGGCCAUGAUUUUUAAAUUAAUAUUUUGGGUUUGCGUAAAUACGCAAACGGCUACGUUUGUUAGAAAAUCGACCGAAAUUAGUGCAUGUUACUAUCUGGCGGGAGGAGGCACCACUUGCUUCGAUCUUCGUGAUCAUUCUGGCCCUUUAACUUGGCCUGGGACUAUUUUUCCGGAAAGAACUAGAGCCUCUUGGACUCCGGUUAGAACAGGCGCCGCCAGCCAAACGGUUGGAACCAGUGUCUCAAGGCGUCCGUAUAGAAGAACGACUAAACCGAUGACGCGGACGACUACGAACAUAAGAAGAUCUUCUCCAAGGUGUAGAGGAUUGGCCAGGUGUGUACCUAUAUUAUUCGGUCAAGAUAUCGGAUCACAAAAUUCGCCUACCACAAAAAUAACGAGAAGGACCGGUGGAAGAACGAUAAUUAAGUGCAGAGGAGCUGCUAAGUGUAUGCCUAUAUUAUUCGAUCAAAAUAUCGGAUCAUAAAAUCGGCCUACCACAAAAACAACGAAAUACGAAACGAAAUCUACGAGAAGGACCGGUGGAAGGACGAUAAUUAAGUGCAGCGAGGAGGUGCCAAGUGUAUGCCUGUAGUUAGUUAAAUUGUCUAUAAUUAAAAAUGUGUGCGUUGUCACAACAUAUCGCAACAUAUCGCGGUUUAUUCGUAAUCCCAGAGGCCAUUAAUUUGUUUUUUAAUUUGAAUUCUAACAGUCGAUUGAUUUUAAUUUAAUUUCAGAAUUACAUUUAUGCAAUUACUUUACGUACCUUACUAGGUUAACAGCAUUGGUUUAUAAGAUAUUUUCUGCUGCCGUUUAAUAAAUUCAUAAAUUAUAUAAAUUCGUAAUUUUUAUAACAAGGUGGCCAUGAUUAUUAAAUUAAUAUUAUGGGUUUGUGUGUUUGCUAUGUUUGUUUUUGAAACGAGUUCGUCCGAUGUCUAUAUAAAUAUCUGUGACGGAGAUCCGACGACUUGCUAUACUAUGCAUUAUACUGGCACUGGGCCAAUAAACUUUACUUUUCCGAGAAGAGAUAGCACCUCUUGGACUCCUGUUAGAACCGGCGCCACAAGCCGUCCUGUCGGAACCAGUACCUCAAGGCGUCCGGUUGGAACCAGUGCCUCACGGCAUCCGGUUGGAACCAGUACAUCAAGACGUCCGGUUGGAACCAGUGCCUCACGGCAUCCGGUUGGAACCAGUACAUCAAGACGUCCGGUUGGAACCAGUGCCUCACGGCAUCCGGUUGGAACCAGUACAUCAAGACGUCCGGUUGGAACCAGUGCCUCAAGGCGUCCGGUUGUAACCAGUGCCUCAAGGCGUCCGGUUGUAACCAGUGCCUCAAGGCGUCCGGUUGUAACCAGUGCCUCAAGGCGUCCGGUUGUAACCAGUGCCUCAAGGCGUUCGAUUGUAACCAGUGCAUCAAGGCGUCCGGAUAGAAGAUCGACUAAACCGAGGACGCGGACGGUGUCCAUUGGCUACGGUAAUUGCUAACCGUCUGCUAGUGAUAGUGAGCAAGGCGAUCUGCUAGUGUGCCAUUAUAUAUUUAACAAAAUAUAGUUGUCUGUAAAGUCGGUUUAAGGACGAUAAUUUUGCGUGAUAAAGUCAUAAGAAAACGUGGCCGUAAAGUUACCAUGGAGGUUUGUCCACAACGUUACCAUGGAGAUUUGUCCACAACGUGACACUUUUUCGUGUAUGCUACCGGUGUUCAUCUAUUUAUAAGACGCUAUCACGUCAAAAAAUAACAUUUUGAAUCUCUUUCUGUGACGUAAUUUUCUUGAAAAGAGCUGCAAGAAUUUAUUUUAUAUUAAUAUAAAACAAAUAACAAAUAUUACAAAACAGUAGUUUAUUAUCUUAAUCAGCAAUUCCAUUUCACCAAAUAUCGCUAUCCUAGAGAAAUUCCCAGAGGUUAUUUGAAGACUUCCUUAGAUUUGACCAAUAUUCCGUUAUCAGAUCUUCUUCUUCUUCCUCGCGUUAUCCCGGCAUGUUUGCCACGAUUCAUGGGAGCCUGGGGUUCGCUUGACUACUGAUCCCAAGAAUUGACGUAGUAUUACGAAAGCGACUGCCAUCUGACCUUCCAACCCAGAGGGGAAUCUAGGCCUUAUUGGGAUUAGUCCGGUUUCCUCAUGAUGUUUUCCUUCACCGAAAAGCGACUGGUAAAUAUCAAAUGAUAUUUCGUACAUAAGUUCCGAAAAACUCAUUGGUACGAGCCGGGGUUUGAACCCAACCAAACAAGAUUCCAUUAUCAGAUCCUGACCCAAUGUCAAUAGACCAAGUAUUAAAAAACCGUAUUAGCCCAGCUGUAUUUCAGAAAUUAAGUUGAAAGACUGAUUAAACAGUUAAAACUUUAAAGACUUCAUCUUCUUCUUCCUCGCGUUAUCCCGGCAUUUUGCCACGGCUCAUGGGAGCCUGGGGCCUAGGAACUUUUAAUAACACCAUUUAAAUUUAUAUAAAAAAAAAAUAGUAUAAUCUGUAUUAUACAAUAAAUAAGUAUGUAUAUGAAAUGAAAUCCCAGUAAAUAUUUAUUUUUGUGAAUUGUUUUAUUU